rnacentral:rRNA from 1 species
AACGAACGCUGGCGGCAGGCUUAACACAUGCAAGUCGAACGCCCCGCAAGGGGAGUGGCAGACGGGUGAGUAACGCGUGGGAACAUACCCUUUCCUGCGGAAUAGCUCUGGGAAACUGGAAUUAAUUCCGCAUACGCCCUACGGGGGAAAGAUUUAUUGGGGAGAGGAUUGGCCCGCGCUGGAUUAGCUAGUUGGUGGGGUAAAGGCCUACCAAGGCGACGAUCAAUAGCUGGUCUGAGAGGAUGAUCAUCCACAUUGGGACUGAGAAACGACCCAAACUCAUACGGGAUGCAGCAGUUGGGAAUAUUGGACAAUGGGCGCAAGCCUGAUCCAGCCAUGCCGCGUGAGUGAUGAAGGCCUUAGUGUUGUAAAGCUCUUUCACAGAUGAAGAUAAUGACGGUAGUCGGAGAAGAAGCCCCGGCUAACUUCGUGCCAGCCGCCGCGGUAACAC